rnacentral:rRNA from 1 species
UGGGUAACCUGCCUCAAAGAGGGGAAUAGCCUCCCGAAAGGGAGAUUAAUACCGCAUAAUAUGUUUAAGUCGCAUGACUUUAACAUCAAAGGAUUUUCUUUUAGAAAUUCCACUUUGAGAUGGACCCGCGGCGCAUUAGCUAGUUGGUGAGGUAACGGCUCACCAAGGCAACGAUGCGUAGCCGACCUGAGAGGGUGAUCGGCCACAUUGGAACUGAGACACGGCCCAGCUCCGUAGG